ensembl:snRNA U5 U5 spliceosomal RNA
AGCUCGAGUUUCUCUUCAUUGUCGCAUAAAUCUUUCGCCUUUUACUAAAGAUUUCCGUGGAGGGGAGCUUUUGCGAGUGACCUGUAUUUUUGGGGCUCUGCUCACAGCAGAGC